rnacentral:tRNA from 1 species
GUGCGGGUUGGCUGUGGCGGCCGGCGGGCCUGCAAAACCCGCUAUGCGGGUUCGACUCCCGCCCCGCACUCCA